UACGGAGGGUGCAAGCGUUGUCCGGAUUUAUUGGGCGUAAAGAGCUCGUAGGCGGUUUGUCGCGUCGGAUGUGAAAACCCAGGGCUCAACCCUGGGCCUGCAUUCGAUACGGGCAGACUAGAGUAUGGCAGGGGAGACUGGAAUUCCUGGUGUAGCGGUGAAAUGCGCAGAUAUCAGGAGGAACACCGGUGGCGAAGGCGGGUCUCUGGGCCAAAACUGACGCUGAGGAGCGAAAGCGUGGGGAGCGAACAGG
rnacentral:rRNA from 1 species